GGAGGCUGCUACUCCCAGAAGAGUUUAAAGGGUAGAAGCUUCCUCCCCACAGGGAGAGGCUGGCGGCUCAGGCCAGCCCGGGGUCUCCGGGGCCAGCAGGGCGGACUGCCUCAUCGCCAGAGGACCGGGGUCACAGCGACAGGUAGGUUUCAGGGGAACUUUCAAGAAGCUGGCCGCCGGGGGAAGAGGAUGCUCCAGGGACUAUGUCCUUAACGCUUUGUCAGCAACAGCUUUGACGGUGAGCAGUGAACUAGCAGCUCUGCGAAAGACUGCACUUUGAUCUGCACGCUUUAUUUUCUCCUCCUGUUACGAGAGCAGCUUAGCCUUCCAUCGGGGGCGGAGGGGAGCCAGCAGGGGGGCGUGGGAAGCAGAGAGGAGCCAGCCAGGCCCUCUCUCUAGUCCGGGGCGGGCCUCUCUCGGCCCGCAGGCGUCCCACAGCCCGCCGUCCCUCUCCUCCGCCAGGUGAGCUGGGGACGACGAGCGCCCGGAACCCUCGUCUUAGCGACGCGGGCGGCGUUUCUCCAGCUGGCGUUUCUGCCGGCUUGGUACCAAAGAAAAGCAGGACCCGGACAGGCACGCGCACAGGGGGAUCCGCGGAGCCGAGCUCGCGUCAAUCUGCGACAGGGUUUCCACCCCAAAGCAGGGCUCCGGGCCUCGGAGAGCUGUGUCCUCUGUCCGCCACCGUGGCAGGUGUGUGCCGCUACCCUGUAACGGGUACGUGCAUUUUAAGGAAAUUUCCCUGAUCUUCCCUGGGAAGUACCAGGCAAACAGCAGAAUCAGUUUGAUGCCAAUAAGGACACACAGAAGCAGACGAGGCAGCUCGGGGCGAACGAGGAGUCAAGGUGUGCUUAGCGGAAACGGCACGUCCUCAAGAGCUGGGGGCAGACUGACACCAGUGUCCCCCCAGUGCCGCGGGACAGCUGCGACCGGAAGAUGAGACGCAGGGAGAAAACCGCGCUGAGGAAAAUAAGGAGACUUGCCUGUCACCUGCCGCAGCGCCGCGGCUCCUUGACGGCGCAAGAAGGCAACGCAGACGGUCCGCUAGAUGGCGCUCCUGCCUUUCCAAACGGUUCUCUCCUGGGGCCCCCACUCCUGAUCCUUAGCGGAGGCCGCGCGAACGCCCAGCAAAGUACGGAAGAUUUCCAAAGUGACUUCCCGACUGACGGGCACGGGAGAGACGGUGGACUGACACGCCUGAGCUGCGUCCCGCCAGCUCUUAGAGGGGCGAGCACGGUGCUACCACAGCUCCCAUCAGAACGUCAGACAUGCUCUCCCUAGUGAUAGAAUUUUACGACCCAGAGAGAAUUAAAGGAAUUUUCAUUGCAGCAUCAUUUCAAAUAAAAAUUCUGAAGUGACUUGAGUGCCGAGCACAAUGAAAGUGGAUAAAGAAAUGGUGCCAGAGGUUGUACAAGGGGCUCCAGGCGGCAGUUAACACGAGGAUGCUCACAUUAAGUCUCAUGACCCCGCCGGUUGUGAGCCAUUGUCUCCCUGCGCCAGCCCGUCCCUCCCUCACGCUCUGCUUGGUGACGCUGGGACGGGCGUGCCCUCCGCUGCUGUCCUGCCAACGUCCCAACAGCCACAGCCUGCACCCUGGCAGCACUUGGUACCACCGCCCGCUGGGCUCACAGUGGAAGCAAAACAGACCUAAUCUUUCCUUUAAAAGUUCACAGUCUAGGGAAACGAUCUUUGAUUUAAAGAUCGUACGUAGGAGAGGUACCUGAGCCUAUGAGACAGGGACUUCACGUGGACAGGCCGACUACGAGACAGUUCCAAACGCUGAGCCCUCACGCACAUACGCACACAGAUAAACACACACCCAAACACGCGCACACGCAAGAGCUCGGCACGUGCGCCUCUCCCGUCUGGAACGGCACGUCCACUCCGCCGCCUCCGCCGGAAAAGUCGGUUCGCAAUCAAAGCGAUCACAGAGAGAUCACAGCAGUGGAGACGGCAGCGCUGUGUACCCGCUCUUUUCU